rnacentral:rRNA from 1 species
UGCAAGUCGAACGCUGNAAGCCUGGUGCUUGCACUGGGUGGAUGAGUGGCGAACGGGUGAGUAACACGUGAGUAACCUGCCCCUGACUCUGGGAUAAGCCUGGGAAACUGGGUCUAAUACCGGAUAGGACCAUCGUUUAGUGUCGGUGGUGGAAAGUUUUUUCGGUGUGGGAUGAGCUCGCGGCCUAUCAGCUUGUUGGUGGGGUAAUGGCCUACCAAGGCGUCGACGGGUAGCCGGCCUGAGAGGGUGGACGGCCACAUUGGGACUGAGACACGGCCCAGACUCCUACGGGAGGCAGCAGUGGGGAAUAUUGCACAAUGGGCGCAAGCCUGAUGCAGCGACGCCGCGUGGGGGAUGACGGCCUUCGGGUUGUAAACUCCUUUCAACCAUGACGAAGCUUUCGGGUGACGGUAGUGGUAGAAGAAGCACCGGCUAACUAC